GAGGCCUGCCUGCCCAGUGACAAACGUUCAACGGCCGCGGUAUCCUGACCGUGCAAAGGUAGCAUAAUCACUUGUUCCUUAAUUGGGGACUGGAAUGAAUGGCCUCACGAGGAUUCAACUGUCUCUUACCUCUAAUCAGUGAAAUUGACCUCCCCGUGAAGAGGCGGGGAUACAACAACAAGACGAGAAGACCCUAUGGAGCUUUAAUUUUCUGUCUUAACUACUAAAUAACUAACCCUACUGGGAUAAAAAAAAAGAGAAGUAAGUCAGUAAUUUCGGUUGGGGAGACCUCGGAGAAUAAAACAACCUCCGAAUGAUUUUAACCAAGACAAACAAGUCAAAGUAUUAAAAAUCAAAUUGACCCAAUUCAUUUGAUCAACGGACCAAGUUACCCUAGGGAUAACAGCGCAAUCCUAUUCAAGAGUCCAUAUCGACAAUUAGGGUUUACGACCUCGAUGUUGGAUCAGGACAUCCCAAUGGUGCAGCAGCUAUUAACGGUUCGUUUGUUCAACGAUUAAAGUCCUACGUGAUCUG
rnacentral:rRNA from 1 species